rnacentral:rRNA from 1 species
GAUGAACGCUGGCGGCGUGCUUAACACAUGCAAGUCGAACGGUGAAGCAGGAGCUUGCUCUUGUGGAUCAGUGGCGAACGGGUGAGUAACACGUGAGCAACCUGCCCCUGACUCUGGGAUAAGCGCUGGAAACGGCGUCUAAUACUGGAUAUGUGAUGUGACCGCAUGGUCUGCAUCUGGAAAGAAUUUCGGUUGGGGAUGGGCUCGCGGCCUAUCAGCUUGUUGGUGAGGUAAUGGCUCACCAAGGCGUCGACGGGUAGCCGGCCUGAGAGGGUGACCGGCCACACUGGGACUGAGACACGGCCCAGACUCCUACGGGAGGCAGCAGUGGGGAAUAUUGCACAAUGGGCGGAAGCCUGAUGCAGCAACGCCGCGUGAGGGAUGACGGCCUUCGGGUUGUAAACCUCUUUUAGCAGGGAAGAAGCGAAAGUGACGGUAGGUGCAGAAGAAGGACCGGCCAACUACGUGCCAGCCGCCGCCGUAA